GGCUUCAUUGCUUUGUGCUCACACAAAGGGAAUUUCACCUGCUGUUCCAAACAAAAGGCCCUGGAAACUUUUGCAGAGAAGGGGACGAGGGGAAGAAGGUUUGUAGAAGCAAAACGAGUUGUUGCAGGGUUUGUUGUGGAUUUUUUUUUUUCACAGUGACCUGUAAAACAUCCCCAGCUCUUUGCUGCUUGCAGAAGACCUGGCGCCGACAUGUGGAAGUGAUUGACUCACUAUGAGACUGCUGUUUUUGCCUCUGACUUGGGAUUAAGACGGAGCUGGAGGAGCUGUCGUCGGCAGGCACCGGAGCCGGCACUUACCUCUCACUGCAUCCAGCCCCUCCGGCCGUGGGGCUGCGGCUCCUGGAGAGUUAGCUGGCAGGGGACCCCACAUCCACUCGGGUUUCUCCCAGGACCGACGUUCGGCUGCUGCUUCUUAGGCACAGACCCAACCCCUCCAUUCCGACCACAGGGAGAGGAAAAAAAAAAAAAAAUCUUCUUCCAAAAGAAAAGAAAAAAAGAAUUAAAAAAAAAAAAAAAAAAGGAGGGA